AUUGAACGCUGGCGGCAUGCCUUACACAUGCAAGUCGAACGGUAACAGGUCUUCGGAUGCUGACGAGUGGCGAACGGGUGAGUAAUACAUCGGAACGUGCCUAGUUGUGGGGGACAACUACUCGAAAGAGUGGCUAAUACCGCAUGAGAUCUACGGAUGAAAGCAGGGGAUCGCAAGACCUUGUGCUACUAGAGCGGCCGAUGGCAGAUUAGGUAGUUGGUGGGAUAAAAGCUUACCAAGCCGACGAUCUGUAGCUGGUCUGAGAGGACGAUCAGCCACACUGGGACUGAGACACGGCCCAGACUCCUACGGGAGGCAGCAGUGGGGAAUUUUGGACAAUGGGCGCAAGCCUGAUCCAGCAAUGCCGCGUGCAGGAUGAAGGCCUUCGGGUUGUAAACUGCUUUUGUACGGAACGAAAAGCCCCGGGUUAAUACCCUGGGGUCGUGACGGUACCGUAAGAAUAAGCACCGGCUAACUACGUGCCAGCCGCCGGCGUAA
rnacentral:rRNA from 1 species